rnacentral:rRNA from 1 species
UACGGAGGGUGCAAGCGUUAUCCGGAUUCACUGGGUUUAAAGGGUGCGUAGGCGGGCAGGUAAGUCAGUGGUGAAAUCUCCGAGCUUAACUCGGAAACUGCCAUUGAUACUAUUUGUCUUGAAUAUUGUGGAGGUAAGCGGAAUAUGUCAUGUAGCGGUGAAAUGCUUAGAUAUGACAUAGAACACCAAUUGCGAAGGCAGCUUACUACACAAUGAUUGACGUUGAGGCACGAAAGCGUGGGGAUCAAACAGG